rnacentral:rRNA from 1 species
UAGGGAAUCUUCGGCAAUGGACGAAAGUCUGACCGAGCAACGCCGCGUGAGUGAAGAAGGUUUUCGGAUCGUAAAACUCUGUUGUUAGAGAAGAACAAGGACGUUAGUAACUGAACGUCCCCUGACGGUAUCUAACCAGAAAGCCACGGCUAACUACGUGCCAGCAGCCGCGGUAAUACGUAGGUGGCAAGCGUUGUCCGGAUUUAUUGGGCGUAAAGCGAGCGCAGGCGGUUUCUUAAGUCUGAUGUGAAAGCCCCCGGCUCAACCGGGGAGGGUCAUUGGAAACUGGGAGACUUGGGUACAGAAGAGGAGAGUGGAAUUCAAUGUGUAGCGGUGAAAUGCGUAGAUAUGUGGAGGAACACCAGUGGCGAAGGCGGCUCUCUGGUCUGUAACUGACGCUGAGGCUCGAAAGCGUGGGGAGCAAACAGG